rnacentral:lncRNA from 1 species
GAACCCUACUAGCCGCCGCCAAGCUCUCCCUCUACUCUACCACCGGUCCGCCUACAACCACACAACAUCAGAAAUCUUUCUUACUUUUAUUCAGACUCCAAUUUCUUCUACAACCAUAUAAAGAGUACUAGGUUGCUCCUUGGUCACAAAUGAAAAUUCAAGGCCAAGUUCAAAGCAACGCCUCUUUCAAUCAUUUCUGCGAUUUCCUCUCCGGUAAAGCGUGUGUUUCUCGUUUGAAGGUCUGAUUAACUCGAGAAUUCUGUUCGGGUGUCCAUUCGCGGUUUGCAGCUUCCGCUCGAGGUUCGGGUUCCGUUUCUCGCUUGCCAAUUUAAUUUUUCAAUCAAAGUUCAGUUCUUCUAACUCUCUUUAUUUCAAAUGAAUUAAAGUUUGAUUGGUUAUGUGAUUCAUGUUCCUCUGUGUUGGUCUAUGUCUAAAAUGAAUAUAAUAUUUAAUUUCUUGCAUCUAUUAGGCUUGAAUUUUAUGAGAUUUUCCUAUGGUAUUAGGAGUAUAGAUUAGUUUAUGGGCCAAUAUUAUGCUUGGAUUCAUAGUUCCUUAAAUACUUUCCUAAUUCUGUAAUUCCUUUUAUUCUCGAGAUUUUUCUUUGUUGGAAAAGUUUGGAUGCAAAAGUUUGUUCAAUAAAUGGCCAAAAUAGCAUGUGAACAUUUGUAUACCAAGAUUCUUAAGCAAAAAUGAAAGAAGUUAAAAGGGAUAACAUCUUGAUGCUUGAAUUGUAUCGUGGGGGUCUGUUACUGAACAUAGAAAAGAGAAUUGAUAUUAACGAGACACUUUAUUAUUUUAUUGUUUCUAUUUGAUCACUAGGAGCAUGUUUAGGCCGAUCACACUCGUGUAGGCAAACUUUAGGUCUCGUCUUUUGUUUCAUUCGAGGUGAGAGGUCGUUCCCUUUAGUUUAUAUUCAGGGAAAUGCCCCGUAGAGUUUGUAUAUAUUAUUGUUAUCCGGGGUAUGCCCCGAAGUGAAUGUAACGGAGGCCGCAACUACACUGUGGAUGAAAUAUAGUGUAGGUUAGCUUAGGAUUUUACUUUUCAUUAUUUUUAUUUUUAUUUUUAUUUUAUUAGGUAGGGACGACCUCGAUCCUCUUCCAUGUUUGUUUUUGUUUGUGUGUUUUCACCUCAAUUUGAGUAUUCUUAAAAGCCGACUUGAUCAUGUACACAACCGUACUAGUUACGGGACUCGGGGAAUGCCUAACACCUUCUCCCCGAGUCAAAUGAACCCUCUUACCCGAAUCUCUGGUGCAGACUUAGUUUUGGAGUCCAAAGUGCUUUAAGAGGAAAAAUUAUUUUUUUAAAAAAUGGUGAACUAGCACACCGAAACCAAUGUCAGGUGGCGACUCUGAAAAGUCCUUUUGAACACAAAUUUUUGUCAUUUUCUAACCGAAAACCCUUUUUAGCUUUACAAAUCUUUUUAUUUAUUUUAAGAGGGUUAGUGAGGUAAAAAGGGGUGUGACAUCUCUCGCGACUCUGCUGGGGAGUUCCAGGUUCGAGCUAGUACUUGAUCUUGUUGGCUUUUUAGGAUGUUCGAUUGCGGUUUUUAUGUGUUUUGUUUGAUUUAUUUGAUUUUUAUUUUUGCUUAUGUCGUUUUAUUAUUUGCUAGUUGCUUAUAUGUUUACAAUUUUUUCUUUAUGUGUUACUACUUUAUAAAUUGUCAUCAUUUGCAUAACCCAUGGUCUUCUUUCUGCAACAAGUCUUCUGGAGUACGUUUGAGCGUACACGGCCUUUUUGUGAGUCACCCGUGUCUUUAGGGGGGUGGCGUGGGAGCGUGGAGUGGGCAGACAGCUAGAGCAGCCGCCAUCGACCACGUGCCGCCCCGAAUUGCCUUGUCUAGUGAACCCCAAAUUUAGGUCAGCAUGUAGGUCAUUCUUAUUUGCAUCAUGUCAUUUAGACCUACUAGGGCUCGGUCCCAGACACCGUGUCCCUUUUUGGGAUGCCUAUCCAAAUUUUGUCAAAAUGGGCCUGUGGCCCAAAAAGACAUUCAAUCAUCCCUAUGUGAUACAUGUUACAUCUUUGAGGGUAAAAAGGUCAUUUGGCGGACCGAUGUUUGGGAAAGAAGGGUGAAAAUGAAGCAAGUAGGGCCCAAUUAUAUUUUUCUUUUACAACUUUUUCAAGAAAAUACAAAAAAUGAAAAAAAUCCAAUUUUUUUUACAUUUUCCCAUCAUUUUCCAAAAAUCAAAAAAGAAAGAAAAAGAAAAUCCAAAAAAAAAAAGAUUUUACACUUUCCUAUCAUUUUCCAAAAAUUCAAAAAAAUAGGAAAAAUAAAAUCCAAAACUAUUUUACAUUUCCAUCAUUUUUCAAAAAGACAAUUUUUUUUUAAAUUAAUGUCAUAUUUAAAGCUUUCUCCCAUAUCCAAUCUUCCCGAACUACGCGAACCUAAUUCUGGUCUUUCAGGACGUGAUACGUAGGCAACCCACAUAGGGUCCGAUCUUCCUAGUGAGUCUUAGGUUCUUGGCUUUGCGACGUCUUAGCCAAAUUUUGCAUGUGUUAGCCACUUCUAGCCACAUCGACCAUUCUUGCAAAAUGGGGUCAUUUUCGCAAAAGUGGUUCAAUUACCCAUGUCUUAGCAUUUUGAGUCCACAACUAGGUGUCAUAUUACUUUAUGGUCCCUCCUUUUUGAGUUUGCAUCUUUAUCCACUUCUUGUCAUAUCGGUCGUUUUUGCAAAAUUGGUCACUUCUACAAAUUAAUUUUGGGCCAUGAUUAUUGGGAGUUCGAAUCCAUAUAAGCCCUAGUGAGGUAUGUCCAUGUCUUUGAGGUCAUCUUUGUUGAGUUUGCGCUAAUAGCCACAUUUUGGCCAAGUAGGUCAUUUUGCAAAAAUAGCCUUAAUCAUGCCUUGCAUGUGUCCAAUAGAAGGUGUCGUGGCAUCACAUGUGUCUUGAGUCACUAACUCUAUUUAAUCUUAUUUUUCUCAUUCAGGUAUGGAUCAAUUUGCUAGACUUUGAGCAUGACAAAUACCCCAGGACCAUCCUAGUCAAGACCAUUGCAUGCAUGAGCUGCUUGAGGAAACUUUUUAUAUUUUAGUCUAUAUUAUGUUGUUUUUUAAUUUUUAUUCUUGUACAGUAGUAUCGAGUCUGUUAGUCUAGUUAAGAUUGUCGAGUCUUUUGUUAUAGUACUUCCUGUUUUGUAUUUGAAAAUCCAAAAAUAUUAUAAAUGAAAAAUCCAAAAAGAUUUUUAUUUUUAGUUUAAUUGUCCAUUACUUUUCCAGAACUACACUUGAUCUGAUUCAUGAGGGACAUGAUACGUAGGCAACCUACAUAAAGUUCGAUCGAAUCAUUAUUAAAAAAAGAAAAAAAAAGAAAACAAAAAAAAGAAAGAAAAAAGAGAACGAAGUUGUGGAUGUGGGAAAUGAGAGAAAAGAAAAGAGUGUCAAUUAGAAAGAAAAGAGAGGAAGGAAAAUGAGCAAGCCAAGAAGUGCUAGAAAAGAAAGAAAAUAGAAGGUUGAAAUGAACAAAAUGGGGAUGAUGACAAACGACCUUGUGACCCUCGAAGUCAUUCUAGAACCAUUAAUAAUUGCUAGGGGCAUUGCACGCAAUGUGAUAUUUUUUACCUGAUAAAUGUCCUAACGCUAACAUGUUGGCUUCGUUUUGCUCCUCUUUGUUACUUUCAUUGUUAUUAUAACAGAGGAUGCACUUUGGUGAUUCGUCCAUACAAUACCAGAAAGCACAAGGCAAUCAUGGCUAACAAAGACUUGGACACAGGAGUUGUUGACCCGUCGAGGGAGGUUGAGAAGUCGGAAUCUGAAUUGAAGGAGUAUGUCCAAAGGUUGAAACAGCAGAUGGCAGAAAUGUAUCAGUCUUGGAUCAGGGGGCAUCCUCCACCUUCAUUCCCCAUUAACUACACAGAAAACCCUGCAACUAUCUCACCACUAUCACAAGCCCAGGUUCCCACUACCGUUAACCCUUCCCCUCAACAUGCACCGGGCUUUACCCCUUACCACAAUGUCCCUGGCACCUCCUCCCAAAUUUUCCAUGCUCCACCAGCCAAAACGACCUCAUACCCUGCUCUGACAUCUGCUCUUAUUUUUGUAGUUCCUCCACCAACUACUCUUCCUCGAUCCUCUAGCGAGACUAUGUUCAAAGUCCCCGAUGCCUAAGGAAAGAGGUCCAAGGAAAGUUUUAGGGAGUUUUGGUUCAGAUGGAACGAACAAGUUACUCGGGUCAGUUCUCCAAUUGAUAUAAAAGAUGUUGCCGAGCCCUGCCAACGACAUGAUCCAAUGGGAAUUCCUGCUAAACACUUUCAGCCUCAAUACCGACCCCAUGAAUAUCCUCGUACUCCAUAUAAUCCUCAUCAAUGCUACUUCCCUCCACAAAAUCCCCUAAGUCAUACCGCACCUUCCCAGUACUUUUCCACAAUGCACCGUCAUAUGCUCCACACUCACAAAACCCGCAACGGUUUGAACCGCCUUCACAAAUGUCUUACCCUCCUCUACAAGCAUAUCAACCCCCUACCCGAAAGAGGUUCCAACCAAGGCCGGAGUACAAAAUGAGAAGGCGGCAGCAAAGAGAAAAGUCUUUCACUCCAAUCGGAGAAUCCUAUGCAAGCUUGUUUGAGAAAUUAAAGCAUUAUGACCUGGUUGCACUUAUUCCUCCAAAUUAUGUGGACCCGCGUUCAAGGAGCUUUGACCCUUCUAAAAGGUGUGAAUAUCAUUCUAAUGCUUAGGGGCGCAAUGUCGGAAAUUGUCGGGAUUUUAAAAGGGAGAUAGAAAGAAUGAUUCAAGAAGGGAUAAUUGUGGUCCAGGACAAUGACACCGAGAACAUUACACAAAAUCCUUUGCCUGCAUAUGAUGAUGCAAACUUUGUGGGAAAGAUGCAUGAUGACAUGGAGUAUGAGAAUCCUCUUGGGAACUUGCUGGCUGAAGUUAAUGAUAUUGAAAUUGGUGAAGGUCUUAGAAAUUUUGAUGUGCAACCCAGUGGUUAAGAUGUCGAGCUUGGUGAUUGGAAAGACACUCCUUUCUUGGCUAGCCAAGGAGGAGUUUUGGUGGUUUAUUUUGUUGUCCGGGUUAUUUCAGGAUUGUAAUCCGGAUAUUGUCUUGUGGUUCAAACUCUUCUUCUUCUUUUAUUGUAGUAACUCAUCUUGUGUUAUCUAGGAUUGUUCCAGGGUUGUAACCCAUGUCUAUUUUGCUUGUUUUGUUCAAACUCUGUUCACCAUCUGUCUAAUGCAAUCUCCUGUUUUCUGUUAGUUCUAGUCAGUUUUGUUUAGGUAACUUUUCCUUUUAUAGUUUUUUUCUACUGACUCUAGUGGCACGACAUGCACGCAUAAUUGUCAGCAUGAUCUUGAAGUUAGUUUAAUCAUGAAGCAAUGGCACAUUUUUGAAUAUGACGAAAGGAGGCAUUGAGGAAACAAGUAAAAAUUCAUGCAUUCUGAGAUAACCUGAACUUUGAAUUGAGUGAAACUAAGGCAGUAAGUCUGGAAAAUUUAGAGGUUGAUAAGAGCAUACAAUAAGAAAAUAUAUCUCAAGCAGUUUGAGGUACACCUGUCAGUACUGAAAUGCAUUCUUCCACAUCAAUAUAAGGUUGAGUCAAGUUUGCUUCGAACUGGCAAGGAUCAUUCAUUGGGACAAAGUUAUUGCUCGUUGGCACUUUUUGUUUGUGUUGAUAUCAUCAAUAGAUAUUAUCUGUGAUUUGUCUGCUUAUCUGCAAUUGCAUGUUUGUACUUGGCAUUUUUAAGGUUGGUAUGACAAAGGCAUUUUAUUCUGCUACCCAAACACUUUUAUCUUUUGCUACCCAUUUUGAGCCCUAUUUUUUGUUUCAUACCCCUCUUUUGGAAUCGAAAAUAGAGCUAGGAACUAGAAAAGGAAAAGAAAAAGAGGAAAAGAAGAAGAAAAAAGAAAAGAGAAAAAGAAAAAAAAAAGAUGAAAAAAAAGAAAAGAAAAAAGAAGAAAAGAAAAAAGAAGAAAAGAAAAAGAAAAAAAGAAAGAGAAAGCGACAAAAAAAACAACUUUCUUUUGAACUACGUUCGACCUGAUUUUUGUCACCACAAGAUACGUAGGCAGCCUUACGGUUCGGUCACACCAAAUAAAAUAUUUCAUGAUCCCCGAAGUCAAGAGUGGGGCAGUUUUUCUUAGAAAUCUCAUCAAAGCAAAAAUCCAAAAAAAAAUCCCCAAACUCCAAGAAACUGGGGCAAAAGUUUUAGUUUUUGCUAAAAGAUCUGAUUCCUAAAAGUUGUAAUUUUGAACCCUUUCAUCUUAAAUUAUUUUUGAGCAUUCAUGCCACACUUUCUUUCCAACCCUGUCCAAAAGCCUAUAUUACGGUCCAAAGAAAGACCUUCCGACCAAUCUUUGAGGAUGCCAAAUCAAGUGGGUAGUGAAAGUAUGAUUUUCUUGUAUCAUGGGUAAUACCUUGUUCUCAGCACAAAGAGAGAAAAUAAUAAAAUGAGAGAGUCUUCUCGGUGAAAACCCUCAUGGGCACCGUAAGGCGACAAUGAGUUGAGGAAAAGAGCAAAAAAUAAGAGAGACUUGAUGGUGAAAACCCUUUAGGGCACUACAAGUCGACCGAGGAUUGUGGAUCAGAUGAGAUAAUUGAAGCGCUGAAGUCCAAUUUCACGACUUAGAGGUACAACAUGAGUUGAAUAUUAGACUUGCUUGAGAGAUUAGGCCACUUAGUCUAGAGGUGCAUGUCAUGGUCAUUGGAGUUGGUAUCCACAUCUGAUAAAUUUCUACUUUGUAAUUUUCUUGUUAGGUAUCAUCUCUUUCCAUUGUCCCUUAUUUUGUUCCUCUUGUUUUGUUUGGGUCCCUUCUCGAGUCUGUUUGAUCAGAACAAGUGAGAAAUGACUUCAAAAUUCACUACCUACUUCCCAAUUGCACAAAAUGAAUUUGGCUAGCACAUCAAAGCGGCAUAAGUCAGGGAAAGGUGGUAUGCGCAUUGAGUUGGUAACAAUCAAGAUGCUUUGAGAUUCAUGUGAAAUGCAAGGGUUCAGUAAAUGUCAAUUCAUGAGCAAAAUGCAACAGAUAGAGGAUGUUGGGAUCGAAUGGAGCAGAGGUGUUUUCUGUGAUAAGGGUUGAAAGAAAAUGGUUAGUCGAUAACAGUUAAGAUCAUCCAAGUUGAAAUCAAAGUUAUCUUGGCAAGUGCAGAAGCAGACACUCAACAAUGAUGCCACAAACUAACCACCACGUUUUCAAACUAACAAAAUUUUAUUCGUCUACAACAGGGGCAAGAAAAUUUGUUAAUCCACAGGGACCCUCCCAUGAAGAAGGCAUGGCUUAGGGGCAAGAAAUUCUGUUCAGAAUCCUCCAAGAAGAGCAUGGUUCAGGUAAGUUCAUUCUCGGCUUUUAGGACCCUCCUGGAUAAUGGGAUUUAGGUUUCAUGUUUUCAGGACCUUCAUGGAUAAUGGAAUUUAAUUUAAAAUUUUCAGGACCCUCCAGGAUAAUGGGAUUUAAUUUAAAAUUUUCAGGACCCUCCUGGAUAAUGGGAUUUAGUUUUCAAGUUUUCAGGACCCUCCUGGAUAAUGAGAUUUAAUUUUAAAAGUUCUGAGGACCCUCCUGGAUAGUGGGACCUAGUUAGAUUUCAAAACCUUCAUAGAUAACAAGAUUUAAUGUAAGUUCUACCUGUAGGAAAUAUAACUUAGCUUUAAAGUUGUCACUCUUAAGAUGAGAUUUAAUUUGAAGUUUUCAGGGCCCUCUUGGAUAAUGGGAUUUAGCUUUUAAAUUCUUAGAGCUCUGCAGGUAACAUGAUUCGAUUAACACUCACAAAUAUACCCAGAUCUCAAACUGGGGCAGAAAAUUUUCUUUUGUUUUGUCUGUUUGUUGUAAUGGCAGGCGUCCACCUGGAUAACAAGGGAAUACAAUUCAAGUUUUGGCGAUCAGGCACCCACCUGGACAACGAGGGAGUACAAUUCAAGUUUUUGGUAAUCAGGCGCCCACCUAGAUAAUGAGGGAGUACAAUUCAAGUUUUGGUAAUCAGGCACCCACUUGGAUAACGAGGGAAUACAAUUCAAGUUUUGGUAAUUAGGCACCCACCUCGGAUAACGAGGGAAUACAAUUCAAGUUUUGGUAAUCAGGCGCCCACCUGGAUAACGAGGGAAUGCGAUUCUAAGUUUUUGGUAAUCAGGCGCCCACCCGGAUAACGAGGGAAUACAAUUCAAGUUUUUGGUAAUCAGGCACCCACCCGGAUAACGAGGGAAUACAAUUCAAGUUUUUGGUAAUCAGGCGCCCACCUAGAGAACGAGGGAAGUCAUUUCAAGUUUUAAGUCAAUGGCAGGCGCCCACCUGGAGAAUGAGGGAAUUUAUUUCGAGUUCAAGUCGUUGGCAGGCACCCACUUGCAGAACGAGGGAAUUCGUUUNNNNNNNNNNNNGGAAUACAAUUCAAGUUGUUUGGUAAUCAGGCACCCCACUUGGAUAACGAGGGAAUACAAUUAAAGUUUUUGGUAAUCAGGCGCUCACCUGGAUAACAAGGGAGUAAAAUUCAAGUUUUGGUAAUCAGGCGCCCACCUGGAUAACGAGGGAAUACAAUUCAAGUUUUGGUAAUCAAGCGCCCACCUGAAUAACAAGGGAAUACAAUUCAAGUUUUGGUAAUCAGGCGCCCACCUGGAUAACGAGGGAAUACAAUUCAAGUUUUGGUAAUGAGGCGCACACCUAGAUAAUGAGGGAAUAUAAUUCAAGUUUCGGUAAUCAGGCACCCACCUAGAUAACGAGGGAAUACAAUUCAAGUGUUUGGUAAUCAGGCACCCACCUGGAGAACGAGGGAAUUCAUUUCAGAAUUUAUUUCAAGUUCUAAGUCAGUAGCAGGCGCCCACAUAGAUAACGAGGGAACCCAUAUCAAGUUUCAAGCUUUAACGGCAGGCGCCCACCUAGAGAACGGGGGAAGUCAUCUCAAGUUUUAAGUCACUGGCAGGCACCCACCUGGAGAAUGAGGGAAUUCAUUUCAAGUUUUAAGUCACUAGCAGACGCCCACCUGGAAAACGAGAGAAUUCAUUUCAGAGUACCUAUCAAUUCGCAAAUUCAAGAAACAUCAGGAGCCCUCAUGAAGAACAAGAUCCAUUUUUCAGUUUCAUGUUGAAGAUCAAGUAAAGAUUAAAGACAAUAAGUAAAUAGGAUCUUGUAUUUUUCUUUUACUUCUGCUGUAAUUUUUCCUUUUAUUUUCGAUGUAAUGGCAGGAACCGCGGACCGGAACCUCGACGGAACCUCAACCGGCUCUCCAUCUUGGUAAACUCUGUCACUCUUCCUACUUCUAAACUACACGUGGCCUGAUUCUUUUAUAGUCAAGGAUAUGUAGGCAGCUCAAAUACCAGGGCUCGGUCACACUCUCUUCCUUUCUCUAAAUUUUUGGUCUAUCUAAAUAAGGGUCGGGUCAAAAAACUUGUCUCGUCGUUCUUUGUCUGAAAACUCUUUGUGUUUUCAGUUAAAGAGGGGCAGCUGUAGACAUGUAAUUUUUGACCCUCCCCAAAAUUUUACACAUUUUAGUGUUAAAUAUUUAGUUUAGACCUAAUAUCACUAUUUUGACUAUUCUAAACUUUUUUGCUUUAUUCAAUCUUAAAAAUAAAAAUAAAAACUACAAAAAAUAUUUUCCUUUAAUUUAGUUAAUUAAUAUUUUUGUCUAGCAAUUUUUAAAUAUAUCUUAUUUGUGAAACUGAAAACCGAAAAAAUAGUCACUUGAUUUAAGGUUUUACUACACUAGUAUUAACUUAUUAAUUAGUGUUAUCAUUUUUAUGUUUUUAAAAGAAAAAAAAGUAAAUAUUUUCUUAGCCUGAUUAGUUUUUUAUAGGAUCAUUUUGAGUUAUUUUUAUAUAUCAUUUCAGUUGGGAGUAUUGACAUAUUUGGUUCUCGUUGCAUUAGGCAGUAUGCCUAAUUGAUCCUUUACUAUCUUAUUUUCUUUUCAGUUAGUUAGUUGGGUUCAUUUUGACUCUUAAAAGUUUUCUUUACAUAAUUCAAAAAAUAAAAGGAAAGAGCUCCUGAAUUUUGUCACUUUCUCUAAGGAAUUGCUCCUCCUCACAUAGACUCACAUAGAAUAAGAUUUUCAUAUUCAAUUUUCUUGGGCAUCACCCUGGACACCUCACCUCCACAUCUCACGUGACUCACAAAAUCACUCGUAUAAUACAAUAUCAUCAGCCCACCAAAGAAAAGAGAAAAACAAAUCCUAAGAGAAGAAGAGAGAACCCUGCUAGCCGUCGCCAACCUCUCCCUUUACUCCACCACCGGUCCGCCUACAACCACAUAACAUCAGAAAUCUUUCUUCCUUUUAUUCAGACUCCAAUUUCUUCUAUAGCCAUGUAAAGAGCACUAGGUUGCUCCUUGGUCACUAAUAAAAAUUCAAGGCCAAGUUCAAAGCAACGCCUCUUUCAGUCAUUUCUGCGAUUUCCUUUCCGGCAAAGCGUGUGUUUCUCGUUUGAAGGUCUGAUUAGCUCGAGAAUUUAGUUCGGGGUGUCCAUUCGCGGUUUGCAGCUUUCGUUCGAGGUUCGGGUUCCGUUUCUCGCUUGCUGAUUUUAUUUUUCAAUCAAGGUUCAGUUCUUCUAUCUCUCUUUGUUUCAAAUGAAUUAAAGUUUGAUUGGUUAUGUGAUUCAUGUUCCUAUGUGUUGGUCUAUGUCUAAAAUGAAUUUGAACUUAAUUUGUUGUUUGAUUCUUGCUCCUUUUGUGCUUGGUGUUCGAUGUUGGCACUGAUAUUUGAUCACAAAGUGGAAGGGAAUUUUAGUUUGUUUGAUCUAGUUUUACAUUUGAUAAGUAUAAAUCUCAAAAUUGGGAGUAAGAUUUGGACUAAUUUCAUUUAAGUAACAAAGUGGGAUUCAGUUGCGUUUUAAAUUAAUGGGUCCAAUAAUAAAAUAUUUACUUUCUUGCAUCUAUUAGGCUUGAAUUUUCUGAGAUUUCCCUAUGGUAUUAGGAGUAUAGAUUAGUUUAGUCUAUUCAUGGGCUAAUAUUAUGCUUGGAUUCAUAGUUCCUUAAUUACUUUCCUAAUUCUGUAAUUCCUUUUAUUCUCGAGAUUUUUCUUUGUUGGAAAAGUUUGGAUGCAAAAGUUUGUUCAAUAAAUGGCCAAAAUAGCAUGUGAACAUUUGUAUACCAAGAUUCUUAAGCAAAAAUGAAAGAAGUUAAAAGGGAUAACAUCUUGAUGCUUGAAUUGUAUCGUGGGGGUCUGUUACUGAACAUAGAAAAGAGAAUUGAUAUUAAUGUGGCACUUUAUUAUUUUAUUGUUUCUAUAUGAUCACUAGGAGCAUGUUUAGGACGAUCACACUCGGGUAGGCAAAUUUUAGGUCUCGUCUUUUGUUUCAUUCGAGGUGAGAGGUCAUUCUCUUUAGUUUAUAUUCAGGGGAAUGCCCCGUAGAGUUUGUAUAUAUUAUUGUUAUCCGGGGUAUGCCCCGAAGUGAAUGUAACGGAGGCUGCAACUACACCGUGGAGGAAGUAUAGUGUAGGUUAGCUUAGGAUUUUACUUUUCAUUAUUUUUAUUUUUCUUUUUCUUUUAUUAGGUAGGGACGACCUCGAUCCUCUUCCGUGUUUGUUUUUGUUUGUGUGUUUUCACCUCAAUUUGAGUAUUCUUAAAAGCCGACUUGGUCAUGUACGCAACCGUACUAGUUACGGGACUCGGGGAAUGCCUAACACCUUCUCCCCGAGUCAAAUGAACCCCCUUACCCGAAUAUCUGGUGCAAACUUAGUUUUGGAGUCCGAAGUGUUUUAAGAGGAAAAUCAUUUUUAAAAAAACGGUGACCUGACACACCAAAACCAAUGUCAGGUAGCGACUCUGAAAAGUCCUUUUGAACACAAAUUUUUGUCAUUUUCUAACUGAAAACCCUUUUUAGCUUUACAAAUCUUUUUAUUUAUUUUAGGAGGGUUACUGAGGUAAAAAAAGUAGUGUGACACCUUGUUUCUUGUCCUUUAGAGUUGCAAGAUACUCCUUGCAAUUUCUCUUCCAAUGCCCUUUCUUCUUACAGUGAAAUCAUUCAGCAUCAUAUACUGACUGUAAGAUCAAAUCUUUAGAAAGCUCUUUACGAAGCUUGUACCCCAAGUUCUCAUGUUCUUCGGUAAGAACAAUCACAUGAUUGACAAGGGGUCCAACUAGAGAAUUUUCAAUGUCGAGCUGUGUAUCAACCAUCUUCUUAAGAUAUUCAAUGAUUGCAGUUGGAUCCAUAUUCUGAUGUUUCCUCUGGAGUUCAGAACUCAUAGAAGCGAGAAUGAUGCGUUUAAUAGCAAGACAUUCUUCCAAGUAUUUAUGAUAAACCUAGGUGCCUUGAACAUCAUUCUCUGGUGGGAUUAUCUUUGCUGGCUUAUCGAUCACAUCAAUGAGCUUUUUAUGCAUGAGAACAAUUCUCAAAUUUCUAUACUAGUCAUCAAAGUUUGGUCCUACCAGCUUGUUGGUCUCAAGUAUUUCACGCAGUGAUAUAACAGACAUAUUGAGAAAUCUAAAAUAUAGAAAAGNNNNNNNNNNNNNNNNNNNNNNNNNNNNNNNNNNNNNNAGGAAUCCUUUAACAAUAUGUAUGAGCCCCUUGGAAGUCAAGUCGUUUCUCACAUAUAUUUUAAAGGUAGGUACUCUUACCAAUUGUAUCCCCAUACAAUUUUCUUAAAUAGCUCAAUGUCAAAUAGUUCACUGGUAGUUAGGUCGAUCCUAUUGGCAUAGUUGAGUUCAACAUCAUGAUAGCAAAGAACUUAUUAAAUUUUAUACUCCUCUGGGUGGUCCAGGCGUCUAGUGUAAAAUUGAAUAAUUCUUUCAAUCCAUACAUCUAAUGCAAUAAAUAAUUUUAACAUAUUCUCGAACUAUAAGUCUCCUGGUAGUCAGGCCGUUCCUUAUAAACAAGAAAUACGUAUAAUUAUUUACUUUGAUGGAUAGCUCUAUAAUAAAAUAUAUUAUUUUAUUAUUUAAGAACUCAAAUUUUAGUAAGAGGGAAUUGUUACUAAAACAGUUUUUAAUAACAUGAAGAUCAAAUCUUUUAUAGCAUGUGAAUUUAGUUCAAAUUGUCUACAUGCUUAGUCCUAAAUUAAUUUACAUCACAUGUAAUAAAUAGUUCAAAAUUAUGUAAUGAACAACGUGACAUAAAAACAAAAUUCAACAUAUUCUAACAUGUAUAUCUUAUAUAUCACAUAAAACUAUUUCAUGCCAGAAAACUAUUAUUAAUUAACAUCUCAUGAACUAAUAACAAUUAAAAUAACAGUAGAAUCCAAUAACCUAUUAUGGAUUACCGUCGUAUCUAAUACAUAAAUUUCAAAUUCAAGUUACGAACUAUCUCAAUAGUUUAACUUAUAUGUAUAUAUAUUUUAUUCACAAUAAAAUUAUAUCAAUCCAUAUGAAUUCAAACAAUUUGACUAUUGCACAAUACACAUGUAUUAUGGUUUGAACUCUUCAAAUAUAAUCUUAAAAUAUUUCGUAAAUAAAUUUUAGACACAAUAAACCACGGCUUUGAUACCACUGAAGGAUUGCGUAUAGGUGUUCGUAACACGCAGCGGAAGACAAUAACAAUCCUAGGCAGAUCUUUUCGUGUUUAAAUUUAUUUGCAUGUCAAAGAUCGGAUCUAAGACGUACCUGGUGAAGAAAGUCUCGUUUCAAAUUCUUCGAUAAUGCGAAGACUCUAUGCGUAUCCACACCGAGACCGAUCCUUGCUAUCAACUCUUUGAUCAACGAAACCCGCGAACAAAUUGAACGAAGAGUAUUGUGUUGAAAUUUUUCUCAAAAAUCUCAACUAAAAUUAGAAGAACAAGAAACACUUUUCUUGUAAUUGUAUUUUCUCUCUUGGCUUUGUAUUGCACUCACUUUCACAAAAUGAGUUUUCUUCUCAAGGAAAAAUUAUGCAGCAAAUUUUCUCCAUCACCCUUUAUAUAGCAUCACCUACAAACCCUUUUCCUAUUUGGUUGAGGUAAUGAUUUAUUUAGGGUAAAAGUUUAAUUCAAAAAUAAACUUUAAGGAAGAAAUCGAAUCACGUUCCCAAGGGUAAUGUGACUGAAGGUAUUUUAUGCCAAGUCCAAUUGGACUUUCACGCAUAUUCGUCCAAUUCAACAAUGGACUUUCACGUAUUACAUCUCUAAUUCCAAAUUGAACAAUAUAGGAGUUUUCCAAUGGAAAUAUAUAUCCCAUUCCUAAUGGGAAUCACGUGCAUGCCAUAGUCCUUUGUGGACUUUCAUCUCCAAUUCCAAAUUGGCGAGGAUAAACUAAUAUAAUAUACAUAACUUUUAUAUAAAUUAAUAUUAUUUUAUAUUAUAUAUAUUACAUAUAUAUUUCAACCAAGAGAUAUAAUUUAAUUUUCUAUUCUAAAUAGAGAACUUCAAUUCGUUCACAAUAUUAAUUAUAAUCUCUAUGCUAGCAAAAAGUAUAAUAAUAUUUCAUUUGGACUAACAACUUUAUUUAUUCGGCUAAUUAAAUUCUUUAAUUCAAUUAUCAAAUAAUAAGUUAAUUAAUCCUUUAGCAAAGAUCAGAACACUCGUUAGUGUGCGACCCCAUAGGUUCAAUACUAAACUAGUAGUAAAUUGAUCACAUCAAUAUACUAAUCAAGGGUGGCGUCUAGCAAUACUCCUUAAUGACCGGAUAGCAUGAAGUAUACAAUUUACUCUCAAGAACCAGUAGAAGAAUAAUGUAGUAAUUCCUUCUAUCCUUAUAGCUCUGGAUCACCCUAGGAUAUUGUUUAACUGUCAAAUCCUAAUAGGCAAUCAACUAUGUGUUCAUGUCAAGUAUAAUCGACCAUUGAAUAACCUAAGAAACUCUUUUCUUCUUUCAUUCAAUUGUCCUGGCCAGGGUCUUAAUUUGGUUGUUUAUAAUUCAUGACAACAUGGAACUUAAACUCAUUACCAAGAGUUGACAGAUUCCAUCUUGAUCUAUCACUAAUUCUACAAGUAUUUAAUCGUACCCAAUAUCCUUUCAACUAUCGCCCUAGGGCCAUAUGUGACUAGUAUCAAAGCACAAUAAAUAACUUGUCAAUCACUAUGACGAUCUCAGGUCAAAGAAAACUCUUACAUCACAUUCUCCAAGAGAAUAUCCUAUUGACAGUUUAUGGUAGUUCUAACCAUUAGGAAUUAUCCAAUGAGUCGGUUCAAUGAUUAUCACACCCUUUUUUAAACAAACUUCACUAAACCCUCUUAAAUAAAUAAAAAGAUUUAGUAAAGCUCAAAAGGGUUUUUCAUUAAAAAGUGACAAAAUUGUGUUCAAAAGGAAAUAACUCAGAGUCGCCACCUGUCAUUGGUUUCGGUGUGUCAGGUCACCGUUUUUUUNNNNNNNNNNNNNNNNNNNNNNNNNNNNNNNNNNNNNNNNNNNNNNNNNNNNNNNNNNNNNNNNNNNNNNNNNNNNNNNNNNNNNNNNNNNNNNNNNNNNNNNNNNNNNNNNNNNNNNNNNNNNNNNNNNNNNNNNNNNNNNNNNNNNNNNNNNNNNNNNNNNNNNNNNNNNNNNNNNNNNNNNNNNNNNNNNNNNNNNNNNNNNNNNNNNNNNNNNNNNNNNNNNNNNNNNNNNNNNNNNNNNNNNNNNNNNNNNNNNNNNNNNNNNNNNNNNNNNNNNNNNNNNNNNNNNNNNNNNNNNNNNNNNNNNNNNNNNNNNNNNNNNNNNNNNNNNNNNNNNNNNNNNNNNNNNNNNNNNNNNNNNNNNNNNNNNNNNNNNNNNNNNNNNNNNNGUUAGGCACUCUCCAAGUCCCGUAACUAGUACGGUUGCAUACUUGAUCAGGUUGGCAUUUAAAAUAUUCAAAUUGAGGUAUAGACACAGAAAAGAAAAGAAACACAAUAGAGGCUCGAGGUCGUCCCCACCUAACCAAAAGAAAAUAAAAAAAGAAAAUAAAUGUAAAAUCCUAAAUACUAAUAUAUAUUAUACUUUUCCCACGAAGUUCGCCAUGGCCUCCAAAUACAUGAUACUACGGGGCAUUCCCCGGAAUAAAAUAUAUACAAAUUUUUUGAGGUAUUUCCCGGAUAAAUUUAACUAAGGGAACAACCUCUCGCCUCGAAACUAAAACACGAACGUCCUAAAGGUUUGCCUACCAAAAUGAUGACGGCCUAAGCAUGCUCCUAGCAAUUAAGAAAAAUAGAAAUAAACUUAAACUAAAAUAAAUAAAACUCAUUUCAUGAUCGUGUUCUUUUGGCUUCCUCAUUUCAUGUGUUUGACGAAACCCAGUUCCUAAAGAAUACGAACAAAUUAACUACUUAUGGUAAACAAAAAGGGUAAAUGAAUACUACGCUAGCUCACUCAAUUUGAAAGAACAUGUCUGCUUGAACUCAACCACAUGAAUAUUCCUCCAACGCAUAUGACUUGAAACUAACAGAGGAUUUUGAAGUGCUAAUUAAACGCCAAUUUCAAAACAGUGACUUACUAACUUUCAUUAUACCGAAGAAAAACUUUUGUAGGAUUAAUAAAAGUACUUUUAUACUCAUUUCCUAUUGAUAAUAGAUAAAGAAAACAAGCAACACUCUUCAAUUUUAAGACCACACCUCAGAUAGUGAAACAGAUUCAUCGUAACGGUGCUAUCGCAACAUGAAAUCCGAUCAAAUUUACACACAUUUGAACACUAGCAGAUUCUAAAAAGCAGAAGUUGAAGAAAUGGACAGCCACAAUUAUUUUUACUAAACGAUAAGAAAUCAACAAACACACUAAACUACAUGAAAAUAGAAAGGAAUAAGGGAAAGAACCUGUAAGGCAGCAGAUUUAUUUAGUAUAUGAAAAACAAAGUUUCUGAAACAGCUUCACCAAAAUAAAGAUCCGGAUGAAGAAAAUAGCAGGGAGGCAAAUCAAAAAACGUGAACAAAACUCCGGUUGGAAUCCGCUCGACACGACGCAACCUCGAACACGAAACUUGAAUCAACCUCGACUCAGCUUCCGGCCUCAAAUAAUCUCAUCUUUUAAAAAUCGGAAAUCAGAGAAGAGGCUGGAAUUAUUUUUUUUUAUGUUCUGUAUUUCUUUUUCUUUUUUAAAAAAAAAUUGAGAUCAAAAUCAAACUAAAAGAACCGAAGAAGAAGAUAUCCAAAGCUAAACUUAAGCUCUCAUUUUUUCUAAUUCUGUCCCAAAAUCCUCCGUUUUUUUUUCAUUUUUCAGCUUUUGUUUCUCGUCCAUCCCCUUACAUGUGUGUGAAAGUGAAGAUGGGAAUGGAGUCGCGGCCUUAUGCAGCUGUUUGCGAAGGGAGGAGAGGGUGGUGGGUUUUUCGCGAAGGUGAAGGCUUGGGAUCGAGUGGCUGGUUGAUGAAGGUUGUUGAAAGGUGGUCUGAUGGCUGGAGAGAAGCUGGCGGAAUGGCUGGCGGCGGCUCUUGUUUUUAGUUCAAGACUGGAAUUGAAAACUUGGCUUAGGUUUCUAUAAUUGAGUAUUUUAUAUGAAGGUGAGAAGGGAUGAUGGUCAUCGGAUUAGAAGGAAAUAGAUGACUAGGAUUAAAUCUUGCACAUAAAUGGG